rnacentral:rRNA from 1 species
UGGGGAAUAUUGCAUAAUGGGCGCAAGCCUGAUGCAGCCAUGCCGCGUGUAUGAAGAAGGCCUUCGGGUUGUAAUGUACUUUCAGCGGGGAGGAAGGGAGUAAAGUUAAUACCUUUGCUCCUUGACGUUACCUGCAGAAGAAGCACCGGCUAACUCCGUGCCAGCAGCCGCGGUAAUACGGAGGGUGCAAGAGUUAAUCGGAAUUACUGGGCGUAAAGCGCACGCAGGCGGUCUGUCAAGUCGGAUGUGAAAUCCCCGGGCUCAACCUGGGAACUGCAUUCGUAACUAGUAAGCUAGAGUCGUGUAGAGGGGGGUUGAAUUCCAGGUGUAGCGGUGAAAUGCGUAGAGAUCUGGAGGAAUACCGGUGGCGUAGGCGGCCCCCUGGACAAAGACUGACGCACAGGUGCGAAAACGUGGGGAUCAAACAGG